rnacentral:rRNA from 1 species
AUUGAACGCUGGCGGCAUGCUUUACACAUGCAAGUCGAACGGUAACAGGCCGCAAGGUGCUGACGAGUGGCGAACGGGUGAGUAAUGCAUCGGAACGUGCCCAGUCGUGGGGGAUAACUACUCGAAAGAGCAGCUAAUACCGCAUACGAUCUAUGGAUGAAAGCGGGGGACCGUAAGGCCUCGCGCGAUUGGAGCGGCCGAUGUCAGAUUAGGUAGUUGGUGGGGUAAAGGCUCACCAAGCCAACGAUCUGUAGCUGGUCUGAGAGGACAACCAGCCACACUGGGACUGAGACACGGCCCAGACUCCUACGGGAGGCAGCAGUGGGGAAUUUUGGACAAUGGGCGCAAGCCUGAUCCAGCAAUGCCGCGUGCAGGAAGAAGGCCUUCGGGUUGUAAACUGCUUUUGUACGGAACGAAACGGCUCUGGUUAAUACCCGGGGCUAAUGACGGUACCGUAAGAAUAAGCACCGGCUAACUACGUG